rnacentral:tRNA from 1 species
GGCACUGUGGCUGAGAGGUAAAGCACUUGGCUUCCAUACCAAAGGGUCUUGGGUUUCAAUCCCAGUGAUGACA